rnacentral:pre_miRNA from 1 species
UUAAUUUAAAUAUGUAUGGAGUUGGAUCGUUUGCCUACGUUUGCCGCUAGGGGCGCUAUUCCAAUUCCAUACAAGCUUGAGUUA